rnacentral:rRNA from 1 species
GUAAAUGGCGACCGGCGCACGGGUGAGUAACGCGUAUGCAACCUACCUAUAACUGGGGCAUAGCUCGAGGAAACUCGAAUUAAUUCCCCAUAGUACAUUAUAAUAUCUCAUGAUAUAAAUGUUAAAGAUUUAUCGGUUAUAGAUGGGCAUGCGUCUGAUUAGUUUGUUGGUAAGGUAACGGCUUACCAAGACUACGAUCAGUAGGGGGUCUGAGAGGAUGAUCCCCCACACUGGUACUGAGACACGGACCAGACAUCUACGGAUGGCAGCAGUAAGGAAUAUUGGGCAAUGGGCGCAAGCCUGACCCAGCCAUGCCGCGUGCAGGAUGACGACCCUAUGGGUUGUAAACUGCUUUUAUAUAGGAAGAAAAUACUCUUGCGAGAGAAACUGACGGUACUAUAUGAAUAAGGACCGGCUAACUCCGUGCCAGCAGCCGCGGUAAUACGGAGGGUUCAAGCGUUUUCCGGAUUUAUUGGGUUUAAAGGGUGCGUAGGUGGUUUAUUAAGUCAGUGGUGAAAUCCUGCAGCUCAACUGUAGAACUGCCAUUGAUACUGGUAAACUUGAGUUUGGUUUAGGUAAGUGGAAUUUAUGAUGUAGCGGUGAAAUGCAUAGAUAUCAUAAGGAACACCAAUAGCGAAGGCAGCUUACUG